rnacentral:lncRNA from 10 species
UAAUCUUUGAAAUGAUGACACUUAUUAACCAGUUUAUUGCCACAGUUCUUGUAGGAAAAUGUUAUAAAUUAUGUAUUUUCUUUAAGUAGGUAUUUCAUUUAAAAAGUCAGCAAUAAAUUAACAAGAAAUGUAUACAUGGGAUCGGGCAGAGGAGGAGCCUAUGCAGAGGGUGGGCUGGCAAAAGCAGGGGGUGCAGAGGGCCUGAGAAGAGUGAACCUGCAGGGCAGCAGGUGGGUAAUGAGACCAAAAAAGUAUAUUGGAGCCAGGUGCUAUUUGUGCUGAAGAGAGAUCAUAUUUUAAGUUAAAGAACCCAAAGGCCUGAGACGGAUUCCUAACCAGUUGAAGAAUAUCACGGAAAUAUUAAGGUCAUUAACAGCAGAGUUGGAAAAACUCUGGUCUGAAUCCUGACCCUGUCACUAUGGCAGCAAGAGUAACUUGCUAGCAGUAACUUUCGUAUAUACAUAACUGGCAGUGAAUAACAUGAAUAUGUCCCAUUAAACCCAAACUAACAUAACUAUGUCCCACUAAAACCUAAACCCAAACUAAAUGUGUCCCUGAUUCAACUUCUCCUUCACCAGGUUUCAAAAGUGCCUGUGGCUGUUUCAUGUGCCAAGCAUUCAUUGUUUCAUUUAAAUAGAUAACUCUCCAGUCCCUUAUGUUAUGCUGUGUUUGUUGAUCUCUCUCCCAAGAGACAGAGAGCUCGCAGAUGUCAGGGACUAGAAACUCUUCAUCUUUACACUUCCAGCACUUGGUAUAGUGCCUGCACAUAGUGGGUACUAACGCUCUAUUUGUAUAUUAAGGGAGUCCACUCCAUGCAAGCAUUAUGGCGUGUUUGGUUUGAUGUGAGGAUAUCUGUAUGGGCCUCAACGCUGGCCUAACUAUACUUCUGGUGAAGUCGGUAUUCUCUAGCCUGACCCAGAAUGAGGAAACCCUCUAGAGCAAGGGUUGUCAAACUUUUUCUAUAAAGGGCCAAAUAAUAAAUAUUUCUGGCUUUGUGGGCCGUUUGAUCUCUGUUGCAGUGAGUCGACUCUACCUUUGUAGUGAGAAAGCAGCCAUAGGCAAUAUAUAAACAAGUAGGUAUGGACACGCUCGAAUAAAACUUUAUUUACAAAAACAAGUGGUCCCCCUUGCUGUGGAUCACCAGGCUGGUAACUGGUUCAUGUUAUGAACCAGCCAGUUGGCUCAGCCUCCAAAGUAGCUGAGGCAAGAGAAUCACCUGAACCUGGCAAGUGGAGGUUGCAGUGAGCUGAGAUCACACCACUGCACUCCAGCCUGGGUGACACAGCAGGACUCCAUCUCAAAACGAAACAAAACUUAAAAUGAUCUUCAGAAAGAAUCAUAAUGAUGAAAGCACAUGACUGGGAAUUUGUUGAAUUAAACAUUUUUUAGGCUACAAAUGAUAAAAAACAAGCUGAAAUUGUCUUCACAUUCAGAUGGAUCAAAUUCUAAAAUAACAUGUAGGGGAGGGACUUGUUUCUGCCUUUUCUCAGCUCUGUCCCUUUCUGUAUCACUCUGUUCUCAGACAGAUUGUCCACUCAUGGUGGCCCCAGGCAGCCCCAAGCUUACAUUUUUUGCCAGUAAAGCCCAGUGAAAAAUAGAAAUUCUGUUUUCCAGUUAGUUCCAAUACAAGUUUUGAGUCUGACUUUCAUGGGUCAAUACUGAAGAUCUUCCAAUCACAGAGGCCUGAGAUGGUGUAUAUGCUGAUCACCAGAGCCUGGGCCAUUUGCCCUAGGCUGACUUUUCUUUAGGUCCCAUCCAAGCUACAGAGAUGGGAGUAGGCAGUGGUGUUUCCUCCCAUGUUAGUUUCUUAUUGCUGCUGUAACUAUUUACCACAAACUGAGUGGCUUAAAACAACACAGAUUUGUUAAUCUUACAGUUCUGGAGGUCGGAAAUCUGAAAUGGGUUCUACUGGACAAAAAUCAAGGUGUUGGCAGGGCUGUGUUCUUUCAGGAGGCUCUCAGGACAGUCUGUUUCUUUGCCUUCUGUGGCUUCUAGAGGCCACUUGCAUUUCUUGGCUCAUGGCUUUCUUCUCCCUGGGAAGCCAGCAGUCGCUUUGCUCCAAUCUUUGCUUCUGUCCUCACCUCUCCUCCCCCUGACUCUCCUCCUCCUCUUUCACUUAUUAGGAUCUUUGUGAUUACAUUGAGCUCACCUGGAUAAUCUCCCUAUUCCAAUACCCUUAACUUAAUCACAUCUGAAAAGUCCUUUUGUCAUGUAAGGUGGCAUAUUCAGAUUCCGGCCAUUUGGAAGUGGGCAUCUUUGGGGGGUCAUGAUUCUGCCUUCCACAUCCCUUAAAUCAGGGAGCUGUUACUAGUGAAGGGGGAUCAGAUUCUAGGCAGGUGAACCUGCAGGCUAGUUCCCAAUUCAAUUAUUUAGGUAGCUGCAUGAUUUAGGUAAAUAACUUAAUCUUUUUAGGUCUUAGCUUUCCCACUUGCAAAACAAGGAAGUUGUAAUGGGCAAUCUUGCUUAGACUCCCUUCCAAAUCUCAAAUUUGGUAAUAGAUGGGUAGCAUCCAAAGCUGGUGAGUGGGUGGUAGAAUGAGGACUUCGUGCACUGUUGGUGGGAAUAUGCAUCUUUUGGGAAUAUAGCCUCAUUAUCUAAUAAAAUCAUAAAUUUGAACACUUUGAUCCAGCACCCCCAGAAAAAAGUGCCAGAAUAUAAAGAUAAGUAGUUCUAUUUUUUCUUUUUGCUAUUUCAUAUGAGUAUAUAUUUCUAUAUAUACAUCUGAAUCUUUGCAGCCAUAUUAUGUAUAUAUGACACAUGUAUGUCACAGUAGCUCACCUCUGCAAUCCCAGCACUUUGGGAGGCUGAGUAAGGAGGAUCAUUUGAGCCCAGGAAUUCGACCUGGGCAACAGAGUGAGACUCUGUCUUUUUUAAAAAAAAUUAGCUGGGCAUGGUAGCAUGUGCUUGUGGUCCCAGCUAGUUGAGGGGCUGAAGUGGGCAGAUCACUUGAGCCAGGGAGCUCAAGGCUGCAGUGAGCCAUGCCAUGGCACUCUAGCCUGGGUGACAAAGUGAGACCCCAUCUCAAAAAAGAAAAAAAGAAAAAAAGACACAUGUCUAUAUAUCAUAUACAUGUAUCAUGGUAGCAAAAAAAUCACUUGUUUCUUCAGUUGUUUCUACAAUGGAAAGUUUCAAAAAUAAGGAAAUUUAGAAUAAAUUAUGAUAUAUCCGGCUGGGCGCAGUGGCUCACACCUGUAAUCCCAGUACUCUGGGAGGCCGUGGGGGGCGGAUCACUUGAGGUCAGGAAUUUGAGACCACCUUGGUCAAUGUGGUGAAACCCCGUCUCUACUAAAAAUACAAAAAUUAGCUGGGCGUGGUGGCUUGUGCCUGUAGUCCCGGCUACUUGGGGGGCUGAGGCAGGAGAAUCACUUGAGCCUGGGAGGCAGGGGAUGCAGUGAGCUGAGAUCAUGUUACUGUACUCCAGCCUGGGCGAUAGAGGGAGACUCCGUCUCAAAAACAAAACACAAAAAACAGAAGAAUCCAAUAUGUCUAUACAUUACUUGAAGAGAAAUCUUUGAAAUUUUAUUAGGUAAAAAAAGAAAAUUAUAGAAUAUUAUGUAUAGUCUGAUCCUAUUUUAGAAAAUUAAAAAACAAGAGAAAAAAGUAUAUGUGCAUAUGUUAGGGUAGGUAGCUAGGCAGACAUGAGCAGGGCAGGAGAGCCCCCCAAAAGGAACGUCAGGCGACCAUCAGAUGAUGGCCAGGUGGUUGUUAAACUGUCUUUCUACAAUAAUAAUUGAUCACAGCGGUGCCAGGGGAAGGCAGUCUCCAACAGAUAGAAAAUACCUGAAGCUAGUGAUCAGCAGCUUCCUAAUAAGAUCUUGGGAUUUGGAAGAGUGGGCUCAAGCAUGUGCACUAAGAGGCAAAAUGGCAGAGUUUAACUGGUAUAUGACCUUCCUCUAGGAACAAUUGACUGGUAAGGGAAAAAUGCCUCAAAUGAACAUGUGUACAACUUCAGUAAGUGCACUGCACAUGCAGCCCCUCCCAAAUGCUGGCAGGCCAUUGCACAGGCAGACAGCCCAGCCCAAGGAAAAAUCAAAGGAGGAGAGACACAAAACCCCAGAAGCAUGACAAUAUAUAAAACCCCAUGUCAAAGGUCAAACGGGGCACUUGGAUCUUUCAAGAUGCCCAUUUGGCCCUCUUCCAAGUGUAUUUUACUUCCUUUCAUUCCUGCUCUAAAACUUUUAUAAUAGACUCUCACUCCUGCUCAAAAAACUUGCAUUAUGCUCCUUGGAUGUAUUCUUUGCUCUGAGGAGGCAAGAAUUGAGUUGCUGCAGACCCAUAUGGGUUCACUGCUGCUAACACAUCUGUGUUUGUGUAUCUUUGUGUGAGCAUAGAGAAAGUUAUGAAAGCCUCUUAAAAGUGAUUACUUUUGGGAAGGUGUGAUUGGAUGAGGGUGGAGAGGUUGUUACCUUUUUAAAUUACUCAAGUAAUUAACAAAGACAUUACAUUUGAAAACAAAACUUUAGAGCCAAGGCCGGCCCUAUUAAAUACCACUCCUGGCCCUCUUCCCGCGUUAUAUGUGGUUUUCCUGAGAUUUUCUGUGUAUUUGCAUGGUUAUAUAUGUACUUGGGGAGAAUUCAGAAUUUUUUAAAAUACAUGCUACCACGUUGUACGGAUCUUUCUAUAAUAUACCUUUUCACUCCACAGUGGUUCUUUUUUUUGUUAUGUGUCCAUGUUAGUAAAUGUAAACUCUCUAAUCCCUUUUUAAUUGCUGCAUAGGAUGCCUUAGCAAAUAACCAUCUAUUUAGCCAUUCCUCUACUGACGGGCAGUUAAGACUCUUUCUAUUUUUUAGCUAUUAGAAACAGUGCCACAGGGGCCACUCGUGUACAAGCCUCCUUGAACGCAUGUUUAUGUUUCUCUAGGAGAGACACCACUAGUAAAAUUGCUGGGUAAUAGUGUAUGACAUUUGAAAAAUAUUUUUAAAGUAGAUUCAGGCCCAGUGUGGUGUCUCUCGCCUGUAAUCCCGGCACUUUAGGAGGGCGAGGCAGGAGGAUUGCUAAGGCCAGGAGUUUGUGAUGAGCCUGGGCAACAUAGUGAGAGUUCACUUCUACAAAAAACUUAAAAAAAAAAAAAAAAAAAGAGACUACAGUAUAUUCUGUAGAAUUGCCUUUAAAAGAGGCCAUGACAAUUUACAUUUUAUAAUCUGAAGGAUAUUUAAAAAAUUAUUGUCUAAUUUAAAACAGGCAUGUCUUAAUUAAUAAAAAACAAAGAAAAUCCAUAAAAUUGUUCUUGAAUUCCCUUUGUUCUCCAAAUGUGAAGAGAUACAUGGAUUUUCACCUUUCCUGGCUUCCUCCAGGGAGUCCUCCCAGGUGAGCAGGAGAUGGAGAAGGUAGCUUCGGACAGCAAAGAUUAAUGAGAGUCUUCAGAGAGCUUGUUUCUGUCCCCUGGAACUUACCUGAUAAGCAAGAAAAAGUUACAAAUUUACUACAUAUUGAGUAUGCCUAGUCUCAAAAUCUGAAAUCCAAAAGGCCCAAAAUCUAAAACUUUUUGAAUGCUGGCCAGCAUAAAAUAAAUGCUCCUUGGGGCAUUUCAGAUUUUCCUACUGGGGAUGCUUAGCUAGUGUAAUGUAAGAAUUCCAAAACCCAAAACGUUUUGAAAUGCCAAAUACUUCUGGUCCCAAGCAGUCCCAAGAAUUUCGACUAAAGGAUGCUCAACCUGUAUUUGGUGUUUUAUUUAUAGUUCCAGCAUGAGAGAAAGGCAUCUCUGAGUUUCAGAAAAGAUUUUGGUUGAGCAUAUGAAAAUAUUGGCUGAAGAAAGAAAAGGCCUUUAGAAUUUACAGAAACAUGAAGUGGAAAUGGCUCUUCCUCUGACUUAGGCAGUGAAUGUAGAACACACCCGGAGAGCUUAAUGGGAUCUUUCACAGAAAUGAAACUCCUCAACAAAUGUUUGUCAGCUUAGGUGAGGUUCUUGGCUAAGGCACCAGUAGUGGACUUUGAUAUUCUUUUACAAGUGUAUCACUCACCAGCAGAGGGGGCCAAAGAGCUUUCCACGGUUUGGAAACUCCCUGGCGUCAGAGAAAGCAUCGGUAUCACCUUUGCCUAAUAGUGCAGCAUAUAAAAAAUGUUUAAAUUUGGUGUCCAACAAGAAAUGCCAUAGCAGUCAUUUUCUUAAAUAAGUAAUUUUAACGUAUAUAUGGAAUGACAUAUGCACAUUGUUAAAAUGCAAAUACAAAGAAUACAAGAAGGCUUUUUGUAUAUAAAAACAUAAAAUGUUUUAAAAGACAGCGCUGGGGCUAAGACUCAGAACUAUGUGUUUUAGACACUGUUCCCCCAGUAACCAGUUUGGAAACCUCCGGGAUAGCUAAUGGCUUCCCUCAGAUAGGGAGUUGCCCUCUCCUUAAAAAGUCCCUGCUGGAGGGACAGAAAGGGUGACUUUUGUGGUUCUGGCUUUGUCCUAUGGCCCUUUGGAUUCCUUCCCACCUUACUGAUCAUGGUAGUGGAGUGGGUGGUGGCUGGAGGAGAGGCAAAAAGAGCAUGUUUCUGUUCUAAACAACUGUCAUACAGGGGCUCUGUGUUGAUAAAAACACCCAUGCUUUUAAUUUCACAUAAUUUGUGGUUUAAUUUGGCUAUUGCAGUGACAGUCAAGAGAUGAUUCUCUUUGGAGAGGCUGAGAAGAAAAGGAAAGAGACUAAUCAGGGUGUGUUAAACUUUUUUAAUAAAAAACGAACACUAGGGGGCAGCAAACCACUGUUCGGAGGAGCGUCUGCACAAAAUUUAGUAAGGCCGAAAGAUUGUUUUCCUGAACACGUGAUGUGUUUGUUAAACAUCCUCUAAAAAGGGAUGUCUGCUGUCAGGCUGCUUUUACCUGAAUGGUAGUUUCAAUCUUUAGGCGGUCUUUACUUUUCAGUUUCCUCCACACGUUCCGAUACCUGCCAUCUUCUCAUGGAGCACAUUCACAUGUCACAAUCAGUGUUUCCGCACUCUGGGCUUCUUAAAGGGAGCCCUCCUAGUGCCUCCCACAAAGACCGCUAACAUUAAUCUCCAAAACCACGCACCUCGUCGGGGAACAGGCGGCCUGAACAGCUCACUUCCUGUAUCUUGAGGGAUGAGGAGCUGGAGGUCUCCACCCGCUGGGUCUCUGUAUUAGUCUGUUUUCACACUGCUUAUAAAGACAUAUCCGAGAGUGGGUAAUUUAUAAAGAAAAAGAGGUUUAAUGGACUCACAGUUCCACGUGGCUGGGGAGGCCUCACAAUCAUGGCGGAAGGUGAAAGGCACACAAGAGAGAAAAGAGAAUCAAGCAAAAGGGAUUUCCUCUUAUAAAACCAACAUAUCUCCCGAGACUUAGUCACUACCGCGAGAACAGCACGGGGGAAACUGUCCCCAUGAUCCAAUUAUCUCCCACUGGGUCCCUCCCACAACAUGUGGGAAUUAUGGAAGCUAUAAUUCAAGAUGAGAUUUGGGUGGUGACACUGCCAAACCGUAUCAGUCUCUAAGUUAAUACAGAUUCUGCCAAGACCUCCUCCUGCCCUCCAGGUGAUAGGAGAACUCUAGGGGUCCUAUUCAAGUAAGCGUGUUCACAGGGGUGACCUUGCACUGUCCUGAGGGACGUUCCAUAUAGGCAAAGGCUAAAUUUUGUUUGGCUAGAUAUUUUAUUCUAAAUCACCUAAGCCUAUUUCCUCUGCUGACUCUGGGAAUUAGUACCCGGGAGAUAUAUAUAUCAGCUAGGACUCAUAUGGGCCUUGGUACCACGUGAUGCUUUCUGGUAAGUGCUGCUGAGGUGCCAUCAGAGCCCAGAGUAUUGGGUUAUGGUGUCAUUUAGCCAUGAGCUGUGUGGCCUUGAACAGACCAUGUAACCUCUGUUUCCUCAUUUGUAAAAUGAAGAAGUGAGCCUGGAAGUGAGCCCAGAAGUGCAUCUCUGGAUCUGAUUUGAAGCAAGUAGAUCACCAUGCUCCAUAUUCUUUUACGGGAUCACAUUUGUAACUGCCUGUGAUGGUUAAUAUUGAGUGUCAACUUGACUGGAUUAAAGGAUGCAAAGUAUUGUUCCUGGCUGUGUCUAUGCCAAAGGAGAUGAACAUUUGAGUCAGUGGACCGGGAGAGGCAGGCCCACUCUCAGUCUGGGUGGCCACAAUCUAAUCAGCUGCCAGCGUGGCUAGAUUAAAGCAGGAAGAAUGUGGAAGGACUAGACUGGCAGAGUCUUCCAGUCUUCAUCUUUCUCCAAUGCUGGAUGCUUCCUGCCCUCGAACGUCGGACUCCAAGUUCUUCAACUUUUGGACUGUUUGACUUACAUCAGUGGUUUGCCAGGGGCUCUUGGGCCUUGGGCCACACAGUGAAGGCUGCACUGUCAGCUUCCCUAGUUUUGAGGUUUUGGGACUUGGACUGGCUUCCUUGCUCCCCAGCUUGCAGACAGCCUAUUGUGGGACUUGAUCUUGUGAUUGUGUGAGUCAAUAUUCCUUAAUAAGCUCUCUUUCAUAUAUACAACUAUCCUAUUAGUCCUGUCUCUCCGGAGAGCCCUGACUAAUUACACUGAUCAAUGGGUUCUUCUUGCUCACUGCGCAGAUGUGUUGAUUUACUAAGACAGGAUAAUUAUGACAGAGAGAGUUUAAUACACGUAGAGCCAGCUAAACGGGAGACCAGAAUUAGCCUUCCUGAAAAUUUGGAGGCUAGGGUUUUUCAAGGAUAGUUUGGUGAGCAGGGUGAGCUGUGCUGAUUUGUUGGGGAUGCAAUCAGGGGAGUGGGGAAAUCAGUUCUCAUGCACUGAGUCCACUUCUGGGUGGGGGCCACAGAGGAGGUGCUGGUCCAAGUGGAGUCAUCCAGUUGUCAGACAUGCAAGAGGCUGAAAAGACAUCUUAAAAGGCCAAUCUUAGGUUCUAAUAAUUGGGGAAACUGCAAUUCUUGUGUCCUUUGGAACAAUGACUGGUAAUCAUUUAACUAUGCCUACAUUUAGCAGAAUUUAAGCGCCUCUCAUAAUCCUAAACUUGUGGCCUUUUAUUAGUUUAACAAAAACGUAGUUUAAUUUUGGGAAGCGCUAUUAUCAUUUGAACUAUAAACUAAAUUUCUCCCAAAGGUAGUUCGGCCCAUGCCCAGGAAUGACCAAGGGCUGUUUGGAGGUUAAAGGCAAGAUGGAGUUGGUUAGGUCAGGUCUCUUUCACUGUCAUGAUUUUCUCAAUGUUGUAACUUUUGCAAAGGUAGUUUCACGAUCUCCAGUCGUGGGCCCCCAGUGUGCAUUUGCAUGUGGUGGUGGUGGUAAUAGUGGGGGGACCCCCAGGUAAUUCUGGUUUGCUCCCCAGGAUGUGAACAUCCAGGCUAGAUCAUUGCUAGUAUUCCUUCUGACAUUCAUUCAUUUGUUCAUCAGAUAUUCAUCAAAAAUAUGUUGAUAUAAAGGUCUUUAUGAGUCAGUUUUGAAUUCUGAUCCAGUAAAAAGUUGCCAGAUAGAUUAUACAGACUAUGCCAAGCAGACCUACACAGACACACACAUGCACACACACACAAUUUUUGGUGUGUUCCAAUUAGUAUGGUAAUAGGUACUUGGUUAGGUUACAUUAAUAUCAUUAUUUAUUUUCCAAGUCAGAGUGACUUCACAGUAGUUGACAAAAUGAGAUGUCCUAGGACACAUAAGCCAAGAAAUGAGUAAAAUUGAAUUAAGUAGCUGUAUUACUCCAUUCUCACUCUGCUAAUAAAGACAUACUUGAGACUGGGUAAUUUAUAAAGGAAAGAGAUUUAAUUGACUCACAGUUCAGCAUGGCUGGGGAGGCCUCAGGAAACUUACAAUCAUGGCAGAAGGCGAAGCAAACAAAUCCUUCACAUGGCG